CCUUUGAAACCUAUUUCAAAACCAGGCUGGCUUCUGGCCAGGGCUCCCAGAACUUUCAGGGAGCAGGUCACCUACGGCCUAGUUUCCUAAUCUGGUCCAAUCUUGCACAACCUGACCUCAGGGUGGGUGGAGCAGGCACCCCUGCCCUUCCCACAGGCGCCUGUGCUCUUUUUCCCCGGGGAUCUUUCUUGUUUCCAACUCCUCUAGCUGAACUCAAUCUGCUCUCUUGGUGCACUGCCUUCCAUUCCUGUCUGUUUAAUCAGAAUUAAUUCUCUGAGGGAGUGACUCCAAGCCUCUUGUCCUUGGACAUUCUACAGGCCUCAUGUUCAAGGUGUCCAGAAUGUACCUUGUUACUCUCCCUACCACCAGCCUUCCUGCUGUAAAUGACCAAAAUAAACCUCUGAGCUUGCCCUAUGUCUGGUUUGUCAGUCUGGGACAAGCCCUCCUUCCAUCCUUUGUUUCCAAAUCCUCUUCCCACUUUGCUCUUUUCUCUCCCAGUCACACACACUUAAAGCUUAGGCUAAUCCUUACCCCAAAUAUCUUUUCUCUGUCUGAGUGUAACCUCACCUUCCUGUCCUUUGUCCCCACUAUUUCCAUACUUGUCCCUGUUUGUUAAUCCUGUUCCCACAUCUUGCACACCACUGACUUGGUUGACUUUGGAAAGUUAGGAUGGAAACCAUAGUGGAAUUGGUCAACGCAAGUGUGGGUGUCGGGCUUAUUUUGAUGGUGGAAUAGUGCAGCAAUACUAUGUUGUCCUAUGGUUUGUUGACUCCUUCCCCAGUGAUGGACAUGUGCUUUGUUUCCAGUUUGCGGCUAUUGUGGGUGAAUAUUUGUGUAUGUGUCUCCAUGUGGACACAUUUUCCUUCCUCUUGAGUAGAUGCCAAGGAUUAGGACUAAUGGGUCACAAGGAGCACAGACAUCCUACGAGUGGAUAAGCCACUGAAGAAGCAUCUCUCAGUUUCUCAGCAACCAUCAACAGCAAAAGCUCCACGUGGAGAGCCUGGUAUCGGGAGCCUGUCCCAAGGACUGGAGUCUUGAGCUGCAUGCUGAGGGUUGGAGAGGAAGCCCUGGCCCUGAGAUCUCCUGCACACCAGGUGUGUGAGACUCUACUGUGCUGGACACCUCCCACACAUAACUGUGAGUCCUUGGAGUUUGCUUCCAUGUGGAACACAAGGCAUAGUAAAGGAUAUAUAAUGCAGAUGUGCUAAACUGAAGCUUACACGUGUAUGAUUAAAACUUGGUGGAAUAGAAAGCCACCAGAGGAGUGCUCUGUCUCCAUAGUCUGCAGGCUUUGUUUAGAACUGCCAAGGGCAGGGUGAUAACAGCAAGCUAUAACAGCUUGUCCCUGUAUGGUCCAUGUCUAGGCCACAUGCUUGCCCAUCUGCCCACACCUAGGCUCUGAAGACUGCCCUUAUGACGUCACCAUCAAAGACCAAUUAUUCUCUGAUUACCAUAUCACAUCAUUUGACCUGUCAAUCAAUAUUACUUUAUCUCCCUUUUAAUUGAUUUACUGGUUUUUCUUAAUUUAAAAUUUUUAUAAUUAUGGUAUUUGUGUAAUGUGUAUUAUGAUCUCUCUCUCUCUCUUUCUUUCUCUCUCUCUCUCUCUCUCUCUCUGUGUAUACACACACAUGUGCCAUGGUGAGUGUGUGGAAGUCAGAAGACACCUUCAUUCUCUCUCUCCACUUUUAUUUAUGUGGGUUCCAAAAAUCCAACUUUUUUUUUUAAGAAUUUUUUUAAAAGAUUUAUUUAUUAUUAUAUGUAAGUACACUGUAGCUGUCUUCAGACACACCAGAAGAGGGAGUCAGAUUUUCUUACGGAUGGUUGUGAACCACCAUGUGGUUGCUGGGAUUUGAACUCUGGACCUUUGGAAGAGCAGUCGGGUGCUCUUACCCACUGAGCCAUUUCACCAGCCCCCCCAAAAUCCAACUUGGUCACCAUGCCUGCACAGCAAGUAAGUGCUUUGACCAGAUGAGCCAUCUCAUGGGCCAACUUCACUCUCUUUAUUGUGAUUUCUACUCCUCAAAUACCAGUGAAACUUUUCUUAGAGGCAACAUCCUCCAUGUCACUGAACCCAACCACAUGUCCUUGACAGUCUGGUGUUGUUCAGCCCUGUCGACCAUGUCUUUCUUCCUGCUCAGGACCUUCUCUCCUUUCCACUCCUUCUCAAAGCCACAUUGUGAUACUAUAAAUGCUCCACUGUGACAUCACAAUUCUCAACUGUGACUCUAUAGUGUUCCACUGGUCCAUCACUGGGUCAUCAGAAUUCAUUAGUGUGACAUCACAAUGCUCCAAGGAGACAUCACAAUGCUUCAUGAUGGCAUUACAAUGGUACAUUAUGACAACACAGUGCUGAUUCUGACAUCAGAAUGCUCCACUGUCACAUCUUAAUGUUCCAUUGUUACAUCACAAUACAUUCUUAAUGUCUUCAAAACAUGAAUUGUGAUAUCACAAUAAAAAUUUUCAAAAACACCAAGUUUUCAAAACAACACAAGCAUGUUCUCAAAAGAAUUUAUAACCUUAAAACACCAAUGUUGCUUGAGAAGCAAGGUGAAAGAGAUAAUGAAACAAAACACUUGAUCUUGCCUGUUUCUAUACAUUAUACCUGCGGAUUCCAUGCUGGUAGAGGGAAGGGGACUUAUUUGGGAGGAGAACUGUGCCUAAAAGUGAACCAACUUGCUUUCUAUGACAUUACCAUGGUCUUGAUGAUUAUUUAAAUACAUUAUUGCAUUAGCAUCAUGUGACUUCCUGGGGAGAUACAAAGAAACGUCUCUUCACCCGAGACCAGCACCAAAGAAACAACUCCAUCCAAGUUCAGCUUGGGAAGCCAGUCAGUAUUCUGGGGUUACUCAUAUGAGCAUAAGUGAGAGGUAACCCUAUAAGAAUAAGAGGUGACUCAGGCAGUCAUGUCAUUAAAACACCCUUCACAGUAUGGUUUGUGGCUCAGGAACUCUGUUGCAGGAGAUUCCUGUCCAACUCAGUGGCAGCUACAUCACUGAGGAGUCACCUCCUUUCCAGUUUAACUCCCCUUCCUGCCACAAAGAAAUGUGUUAUGUUUUGUAUAUGCUCAGCCCAGGGAGUGACAGUAUUAGGUGUGGUUCUGUUGAGUGGGUAUGGGCUUUAAGACCCUCAUCCUACUGGCCUAGAAGUGAGUAUUCUGCUAGCAAUUUUCAGAUGAAGAUGUAGAACUCUCAACUCCUCCUGUACCAUGCCUGUGUGGACACUGCCAUGUUUCUGCCUUGGUGAUAAUGGACUGAAUCUCUGAACCUGUAAGCCAGCCCCAAUUAAAUGUUGUCCUUAUAAGAGUUGUCUUGGUCAUUGUGUCUGUUCACAGCAGUAAAACUCUAACUAAGACAGAAUGUUAACACAUCCAGUCAUAUGAGAGUGACCAGUUACUCUGAUUUGGGAAGCAAUGGGCAGGCAGGUGAAGUGCCUCAGUGGAUAAAGGCUCUUGCUACCCCAUAUAAAGACUAGAGUUAAAGCCCCUGGCCCCUCAUGGUGAAAAGAGAACACCAACUCCCAUAAGGAGUCUUUGACUUCCACAUGUGUGCUCUGCUUGUAUGAAUAUAUACUGACCCAUUCAAAUACAAUCUUGGAGAGUAACAUGGAAAUUUGGUGGAAACAAUAUGCAACAAUUAGGUCUUAUAAGUAAGCUAGGGAUAAGCUAAGGUAUGCAGGAAGAUGUGUGUAGUUUAUAUGUAUAUUAAUUACUCUUUGACAAGAGGGAUUUAAGAGAGGAAGGGUUUACCCCACUCUCUUUAUCAAUUUUCUCUAUUCAUUACCUCUUCUGUCAUAAUAAGAAGGCAUGGCAGCAGUGUGUGAUAGCUGGCCACCAAGUCUAUGCAGAGAGCUGGAUGUAUGUGCUUAGCUGGUCUUUUCCUUCUCUCUCCGUGGGAUGGUGCCACCUAUAGUCAGGGUGAAUCUCCCUCCUCAGUUAAGGCUCUUUGGAAACUCCUGAUUGACAUGGGCAGAGCUGUGUCCUGAGUGAUUCCAAAGCCAGAUAAGUUGACACUGAAGACCCACCAUCACAAGUUCACGCCUUGUCACCCUGAUAUCCCCAAACAUGUCACUGUUAGGCACAGUGCUGCACUUCUGCUCUCUAAAGUCUCUAAAGUCAAUUCCAUAACACAAA
rnacentral:lncRNA from 1 species